GCCGAUGUGGCGGAAUAGGCAGACGCCCGGGACUUAAAAUCCCGUGUGAGGUAACUCACGUACCGGUUCGACCCCGGUCAUCGGCACCA
rnacentral:tRNA from 1 species